rnacentral:rRNA from 1 species
AUGGAGCUAAGGGCGCAGGAGGCCGCUGCCCACCCGUUCCCGUCACCAAGACCAAGGUCGACGGCCGCGUCGGCUUCUCCCCGCGAGCUCGACGAGCUCAUGGCCGGCCGACGCCUCCCCUCCAGCGGCGAGAUGUGCCAGCCUCCCGACGGACGGCCGCACCUUCCCCAACCUCGUCGUUAUAACACACGAGGAAUGACGAGCGGGAGGCCCGGGCAAGAGGAUGAGGAAGGCGACGUGGACGAGGUAAGCGUCGACGAAGCUCUCCUGCCGAUCCCUAGGAGGAGCCAGGACUGCAAGGAGCUAGGAGAGGUGAGCUUAGCGGUGGGCGCCGAGGUGAAGCGGCAGCUGUGGCUCGCCGGCCCGCUCAUCGUCGGCAGCCUGAUGCAGAACCUGAUCCAGACCAUCUCCGUCAUGUUCGUCGGGCACCUCGGCGAGCUGCCCCUCGCCGGCGCGUCCAUGGCCACCUCUUUCGCCACCGUCACCGGAUUCAGCUUGCUGACAGGCAUGUCCAAUGCUCUGGACACUCUAUGUGGCCAAGCAUUUGGCGCCGGCCAAUACCACCUCCUUGGCAUAUACAAGCAACGCGCCAUGCUGCUACUCACAGUCGUAAGCAUCCCUGUCGCCAUCAUGUGGUUCUACACUGGUCAGAUCAUGCUCCUGUUCGGCCAAGACCCCGAGAUCGCCAUGGAGGCAGGCAUGUACGCCCGGUGGAUGAUCCCCGGCCUCUUCGGCUAUGGACUACUGCAGUGCCACGUUCGUUUCUUGCAGUCGCAAAACACCGUGCUCCCGGUCAUGGUGAGCGCCGGCGCGGCCGCUCUGUUCCAUCUGCUCGCCUGCUGGCUGCUCGUGCACGUUGCCGGGAUGGGCAGCAAGGGCGCGGCUCUGAGCACCGCCGUCUCCUACUGGGUCUACGUGAUCUUACUGGCCAUGUACGUGAGGGUGUCGAGCUCUUGUAAGCAGACGUGGAACGGGUUCUCCAUGCAAGCCUUCCAUGGGGCGCACGACUUUCUCAGGCUCGCCGUGCCGUCUGCUCUCAUGCUUUGCUUGGAAUGGUGGUCGUUCGAAAUCCUCGUGCUGCUUUCAGGACUUCUUCCAAAUCCUAAGCUGGAAACAUCCGUCCUAUCAAUCACACUCAACACGGCUAACUGUCUCUUCAUGAUUCCCUACGGCCUCGGCGCUGCCAUAAGAUCGUGCUUCGUGCAGCACCCGUGUCUCGAACGAGCUCGGGGCGGGGCGGCCACGGGCAGCCCGCCUCGCCGUGCACGUCGUCAUGUUCUUGGCCAUCUCGGAAGGAACCGUCAUGGCUGCGGUCGUGGUCCGUGUGCGCUACAUCUGGGGCCACGCUUACAGCAGCGAGGAGGAGGUCGUGUCAUACGUUGCCAGGAUGCUGCUGGUGAUCUUGGUGGUCAACUUUUUCGACGGGAUUCAGUGUGUUCUCUCAGUCUGUAUAUAGGUGUUGCUAGAGGCUGUGGGUGGCAGAAGAUGUGUGCCUUCAUCAACCUUGGGGCAUUCUACGUUGUCGGCGUGCCGGCGGCCUACCUCAUAGCCUUCGUGUUGCGCGUCGGCGGGAUGGGCCUUUGGAUGGGGAUCAUCUGCGGUGUUCUGGUGCAGGUCAUGCUGCUCACGAUCAUCACACUGUGCACCAAUUGGCAGAAGGAGGCGAUGAAGGCGAAGAACAGAGUGUUCAAUUCUUCUAUUCCGACGGAUCGAUCUACUCAUGACAUGAAGAUAAGUAUGGAGGUCUCGUGCUACUGA